rnacentral:rRNA from 1 species
AAGGGAAGAACAAGUACGAGAGGUAAUGCUCGUACCUUGACGGUACCUUGCGAGAAAGCCACGGCUAACUACGUGCCAGCAGCCGCGGUAAUACGUAGGUGGCAAGCGUUGUCCGGAAUUAUUGGGCGUAAAGCGCGCGCAGGCGGCCUUUUAAGUCUGAUGUGAAAGCCCCCGGCUCAACCGGGGAGGGUCAUUGGAAACUGGAAGGCUUGAGUACAGAAGAGAAGAGUGGAAUUCCAUGUGUACG